UUAUGAGUUCUGAAUGAUGAUGGAAACUACUGAUAAUAACAACCACAUGAUGAGGACUCACCGUGAUGCCUCAUCCUCUCUCCAGCAGGCCGUCUUAAUGAGGUUGCGUUCUGUGGGGAGGGCGGGAUUUUGAAUGAGUGUCUGAGAGCCCCCACCUCCAGCUCCUCCUCCCACUCCUGCAGUCGGACGUGGCAGGAGACUUCUCAGUGCCGCUUCAACCUCAGCGGCAGCAUGCUCAGAGGGCCUGGGGGAGGGGAGGCAGGAGGCAGAACUCGGACACUCUGCAGUAGUACCACCCUUUCCUGUGCUCCCACCCACUGUGCAGGGGAGGCCUUGCUUUCUGGUCGCCAGGGAAGCAAGGAGGCAUCGGCCCAGGACAGCAAGGGCAGGAAGGAGCCUGGGAGAAACAGAAGUCAACAAGCAGCAGAUCAGGAGCCUUGUGGAGCAGCCUCCGUCUGCCCGGCAGCCACAGAUGUGGCCUCAGUGACCGCCCAGGGCCUCUCCCACUCCAGCGGCUGCUGUGCUCCUGCCAAGGGCCCAUGGGGGCAGCAGCUGUGUGUCAUCCCUGCCCUUCCUCCUCCUCCCUCCUUGUCUCCCUCCUCCCUGCCUCCUUCCUGCCUUCACCAUCUCUAAGCACCUACCCUUCAUCUGCAUGGAAGAAAGCUCAUAGAAUGACUAUUUCCAGGGACAUUUGAAUUUUAUGAGUGCUUCUCAAGCCCCAAAGGCAAAGGUUCAAUGAAGUAUGGACAGCGGUGCAGAAACAUGAUGGACAAAAAUAGGCUGAUCUAAUGCUGAUAGAUUAGUUUUUAUGAGUGGGAAAACCCAACAAAGCUUGUCUAGAUUCUUCUUGGCCUCUCUGAGCAGCUUCUUUUCCAUCUGGGAAUGGAGCAGGACUUUCUCUAAAAUGAAGGUCUUAUGACCUACAGUCAAACAAGGCUUGAAAAAAAAUUAAUAAAUGGCUUGAAAAGUAGCUGAUUUGAGAGUAAAUAAUGUGACAAGAGAGAUACCAGAGAAGAGAAGGUGUCUGGAUGGUUGGCAUAAUUAAAAUCAAUAUGGAUCGUAAGAAAAUAAUUAUAUUCACUGUACAGUAUUUUUGAAGAUUGCUUCUAUCAAACCUACAAUUUGUGAGUAAAGCUAAAUGUGUAAUAUUCACACAAAUGUUAUGAGGAUGAUUCAUGUUGCUCCUCCCUCUGGCUCCCUCUGGCUGCUUUAGGCUUGGGGGGUCCCCUGUGAAGUUGGAGCUGAGUGGGAUCUAGGACUCAGACAGUGCUCACUGGCUCUGUCUGCCAGUGACACAUUUCAAGAGGGCAGAUCCCACAGUGAACUCAGUUGGCUGGUGGCUCCUGAGAAAUGUGCCACCCCAGUCCUUUGCCAGGUUCUUGUCUUGGCACCAGCAGACACCUUCACCCCAUACCUCAACAAGCAGGUAUUUAAUUGGACACUUAGUACAUGCCCCGCUGAGUUGAGGACAUAGAUCUGAAGGGAAAGAAGCAUGGUUGGCCUCAAAGAGCCUGUAACUACCCACUUCUAGGGUGUGGGCAGAGCUGGCAAUGUUAGAGCUGCAGUUCACAUAGCAGGCUGCUGGCCAACCUGUCCAUUACUGAUUCAAGAGUGGUGAGGUGGGGGCAGCACUGGUGAGGAUGAUACCUAUCCUAGAGAUGAUUAAGUUGGGAUGACAUGGUUUCCCAUGCUGGCUCAACUUUGAAUAGCUCUGUGGCUAUCUCACUCCUUGGUGGAGGCACUGGAGCUGUGAUUUCUGAGGCAAGGAUGUGGUCCCACUGGGAAUUGGAAUGUCUGAGGUCGUUUGAGGCCGCGUGGUGACUAAAAGCAGGGGUGAUGGAGACUGACCAGCUGGGGUUUGAUUCCUGGCUCUGCUGUUUACGAACUGUGUGGUUUUGGGCAAGUGACAUAAGCAUUAAGCUCUAAUUUCUUCACUUGUUGAAAGAAAAAAAAGGAAUAACAACAGCAUGAGGUCAUAUAAGUGAAGCACUUUGCAUCAAAUUUAGUCUGUUUAAUAACUUUUUCAUGUCAGCAUCAUUGUGCCUGUUUUACAGAAAGGGAAACUGAAGCUUAUGAAAAAGGUGAUAUCUAACUCCAAAGCUCAAGCUCUUGCUUCUACUUCUGUACUUCUACCUCAACCUCUAUCCCAACUUCAUUCUGACACCCACUCCUCCUAUCUAGACCCCUGAACGUGUCUCCUGUCCCACCCCUCUACACUCCGUGCAUGACUGUACAAGGCUGUAGUCUAUACGACUAUAACAUCUUAUUCAACCUGCUUUUACAUUGUGUGUAAAAGACAAGCUUGAACUCUGGUGCCCUUGAACAGGGCAUAAUUAGGAGACUAGAGAAGAAGUGUUGGGGGGAGUCCAAAAAGGAGAGUGAGAAUAAAAUGAUGGCUUGAGAGCGAUGACUUCUAAAAAACGAAGGAACAAUAGCAUGUGUGGCACUGAAGAUUCAGGAGAAAUGGGGGGGAAAAGGCUGUGUUUUCUGAAUGGAAUGGGAACCUGGAGGACUGGAUUCUGAGGAGCCUCCCAUUACCUUGGCUUGGGAGAGAACAGGUAGGUGUGAAGUGGACAAGGAAAACCAGGUGUCCUGGAGCACUGUGCAGGUAAGGUGUGCCCUGAGAAGGGGAGUGCUCAGCAGACGAAGGACAGGUAGAGGCACUGACAGAAAGGGCACAAGGCUGGAGUCUAGUGACAUCACAUCCCCAGCAUUGGAAGAUCCUAAAUUCUAGGGUCACACGGGGAUAUCUGCAUGGGGAAUAAGGUGUUAUGAAUGGAUUAUUUUUAUAUCUCAGACUUGUCAGGAUUUUAUUUCGGAGCUUGAUUCUUCCAUUUUCUUCUGUUUCUUCUGUCGUGUCAUGCAAGCGAGGACCUCUCUAGGAAAGGAAUAUACAAAUUGGCUUCCUGUCCAGGGAUUCAUACAUAUAUAGCCAUUAUUUUUUAAAAUAAAGAUUGUUCGGAAAGUUUAAAAACACCUGCUCUUAAACUGGCCUGCAUGUGUGGUUGAGGACAGUUCCCAGAUGAAGGAGUCGUGCCGAAGGGGAGGAUCAUGGUGCAGGAGAGAGGCCUCUUGAAAAUCAGUAGGCAGGGGAUGGAGGUGAAAGGGUGCAUCUCGGAGCCCUUGGCUUGACUGGAGGAGGGUUUUGCUGGGAAGGCAGGCAUGGCAAUGGGGUUUAUAGAGGCUUAGGGUAGUGUUUGACUUCACCCCUUCUCACUGUGUGCUGCUGUGAGAGCCUCAAUUUCCUCUUUAAGUAGAGAUCAUAGUAACUUAUACAAAGCAACUGACCCAUGGUUGGGUGGAGACCAGCUACCCAACAAGAACAGGCUGGGUGCUGUGACUCACAAUUGUAAUGGCAGCACUUUGGGAGGCCAAGA